GAUGAACGCUGGCGGCGUGCCUAAUACAUGCAAGUAGAACGCUGAAGGAGGGGCUUGCUCUUCUGGAUGAGUUGCGAACGGGUGAGUAACGCGUAGGUAACCUGCCUGGUAGCGGGGGAUAACUAUUGGAAACGGUAGCUAAUACCGCAUAACAGCAGUUGUUGCAUGGUGACUGUUUGAAAGGUGCAACUGCUCCACUACCAGAUGGACCUGCGUUGUAUGAGCCAGUUGGUGAGGUAAAGGCUCACCAAGGCGAGGAUACAGAGCCGACAGGAGAGGGGGGGUGGCCACACUGGGAGUGGGACACGGCCCAGAGGCCUUCGGGAGGCGGCAGGAGGGAAACUUUGGAAAUGGGCGGGAGUCUGACCGCGAAAGGCCGCGGGCGGGAAGAAGGUUGUCGGGUCGGAAAGCUCGGUUGUAAGAGAAGAACGAGCGUGAGAGUGGAAAGUUGACAGUGUGACGGUAUCUGAUCAGAAAGCGCCGGCUAACUACGUG
rnacentral:rRNA from 1 species